AAACGACCUAUUUCCACACCAGAAGUUUCAUAUAGUAAGAGUUCCACACAAUCUUUCAACCUCGUCUUAAUUGCACAUAUAUAGAAGUUGUACAACCUAUUUCCCCACAAUGUCAAAGUUCGAAACCCGAACCCACAUGAACAUACAAUUAGCUGAUUAAAAUCGGUUUACAGGUUUUUGAGUUUAAGCCUAACCAAUAGAAAACCUAAUUAAACCUAAGAAGACCCGUUUACGUCUUUACGACCCGAUUUGUUAUUAUAAACCGUAAUUUAACUAACCCAGUUUUUAUUAACCAGAAAAAAACCCCAAUUCUGUUCAUCUCUCUCAAGUGUCGUGAACUCUAGGCAAGACUGAAGCUUUGAAUCAAUUUUGUGGACUGUUCUUUCUGCCUAAUCGGUUAUGUCAGAAUGACUCAGGAAGGAGGGAUUGAUGUGAAUGUUGAGUGGAAUGAUGUCCCUGAAUUCGAACACUUGAUGUCCCUGACGAAGCUCCACUUUCGUUGCUCAUUUUCGAUUUUCACCAGCUGAAGGAGAGAGUUCUGGGUUCGUUUUUAGGGUUCGUAUAAUUGGGGGUUUUUAAAACUGGAUUCCAACCGGGUUAAAAUAGGAUCUCUGGUCGGGUUAUUUUAUGUCUUUCGGUUUGGUUACCUCUUCUGAACCACUAAAUUGAUGAAUAACCGAAGCCAUGUGGGUUCGGGUUUCGAACUUUGACAUUGUGGGGAAAUAGGUUGUACAACUUCUAUAUAUGUGCAAUUAAGACGAGGUUGAAAGAUCGUGUGGAACUGUUACUAUAUGAAACUUCUGGUGUGGAAAUAUGUCGUUUCCCCAA